AGAAUAUAGAUAAGGGAAGUCGGCAAAUAAAAUCGUAACUUCGGGAAAAAGAUUGGCUCUGAGGGUUGGGCCUAGGGGUCUUUUUAAAGAGCUUGUGGCGGCCUAAGCUGGGCUGCGUCGUAACGUUUCGGGGAUCGGAUGCAGCCCAGCGGUCGGGCAUCUCUUGCUGCGCCGGAGAGAAUGGUCGUUGGCUUUCGGGCUGGCGGCUGUUUUCCUAGUGUGUUGAACAACCGGCUCAGAACUGGAGCGGACAAGGGGGACCCGACUGUUUAAUUAAAACACAGCAUUGUGAUGGCCGGAUACGGUGUUGACACAAUGUAGUUUCUGCUCAGUGUUCUGAAUGGCAAAGUGAAGAGAUUCAACCGAGCGCAGAUAAACGGCGGGAGUAACUAUGACUCUCGUAAGGUAGCCAGAUGCCUCAUCAUCUAACUAGUGACUCGACUACGAUAUCAACCAACCGUGUCCCCAAAUGAGCUUCCUCACCUAGUA
rnacentral:ncRNA from 1 species